GACGUCAGCCCGACUCUGAACUGAGCCCUGGGGCACAGUAGGAGACUGAACCGACGGUCGUUCGCACGAAGCGUAGAACGCUGUUUUUUUGUGGUGCUCCAAGGCCGAGGCCCCGUACCCACAUGAUGUUCCGUACUCGAGAGAUCAAGCGACCCGUCGUGUUUCGUCGGCCGGAACGCCGUUUCACCGGCGAAUGGGGCACGAGGCACGACGUGCGCUGUUUUGCCCACCUCGCACCGCAGACCCUUUGGGGGCAGCGGCACAGGAUGGGAAUGGAACGAUGGUAACUGAUAGAAUGCCCUUGUGAUAGGUAGGCAACACAGGAAAACCGACGUCGGACAAGCACUUGCUCGCGCUAACAAUUGAAAAGAUGCGAACGAGAUAUCGUCGCUGCCUGAGCAGGGAACCGACAUGCCGUUGCGCGCCAACCACCAC
rnacentral:misc_RNA from 1 species